UUCGCCUGCCUUGAAGGUGCAUUGCAUGGCUUUCCUUUCAUUUUCUUGCCAACUCGAGAGCCUUCAUAUCCUUUUCUUCAAGGCUUUUGCCACUAACAUUUUCAGAGGAAAACCUGAGAGCAGUUCUUUAAAGCCGAUAUCAAGGAGAGAUUAAAGAUGGAGGUAGGAAGAACUAGGAAAACCCUUGACAUUUUUGAAACCUAAGGCCUCCAUUGAACGGGAGCAAGUGAAGAAUGGUAAAGCUAGGCAAGCCCCAAGCCAUGGCUGUAAUUAUAUUUUGAAGAAAUUCAAGCUUGAAGCUGGAAUUUUUGUAAGUUUUAGAGUUUUGUUAGAGCAAUGCAUAAAUUGUUCUCUGAACGAGAUUAAUCCAUAUCAAGGGACUGUUGAAAUGAUGUUCCUAUUGCUAAGAAAGGUUGUUGGACAAAUGGUAAUUAGCAUAAGCCGAGGCUAAGGGAUUCCUUAAAGGUUUGGAUGAUCGUAUUUUGAAAGUGCAACCGUCCUUGGUUGAAUCAAGCUUAAGUUAAGGAAGAUUGCUUAGUGAUAUUGGUGAGAAAUCCCACCAUUCAAGAUCAUGAGGCAGCUGGUAACUAGGUCGAAGUGUCU